CCCUUAGAUGUCCUGGGCUGCACGCGCGCUACACUGAUGUGUCCAGUAAGCACCUAACCUCUUCCGAAAGGAACGGGUAGCCUUUGCAAAGCACAUCGUGAUGGGGAUAGAUUAUUGCAAUUAUUAGUCUUGAACGAGGAAUUCCUAGUAAGCACAAGUCAUCAGCUUGUGUUGAUUACGUCCCUGCCCUUUGUACACACCGCCCGUCGCUCCUACCGAUUGAAUGUUCCGGUGAGCUCUUCGGACUGCGCGGUCUGCAGUUUCUGCGUUCCGUGCGGAAAGUUGCGCAAACCUUAACAUUUAGAGGAAGGAGAAGUCGUAACA
rnacentral:rRNA from 1 species